AGUGAACGCUGGCGGUAGGCCUAACACAUGCAAGUCGAACGGCAGCACAGUAAGAGCUUGCUCUUACGGGUGGCGAGUGGCGGACGGGUGAGGAAUACAUCGGAAUCUACUUUUUCGUGGGGGAUAACGUAGGGAAACUUACGCUAAUACCGCAUACGACCUACGGGUGAAAGCAGGGGAUCUUCGGACCUUGCGCGAUUGAAUGAGCCGAUGUCGGAUUAGCUAGUUGGCGGGGUAAAGGCCCACCAAGGCGACGAGCCGUAGCUGGUCUGAGAGGAUGAUCAGCCACACUGGGACUGAGACACGGUCCAGACUCCUACGGGAGGCAGCAGUGGGGAAUAUUGGACAAUGGGCGCAAGCCUGAUCCAGCCAUACCGCGUGGGUGAAGAAGGCCUUCGGGUUGUAAAGCCCUUUUGUUGGGAAAGAAAAGCAGCAGGUUAAUACCCCGCUGUUCUGACGGUACCCAAAGAAUAAGCACCGGCUAACUUCGUG
rnacentral:rRNA from 1 species